AAGUUGUUCUUUAAAGAUAUUUCCUUCUUCCAAAAAGGCUUACACUUUUUUGAAUAUCCAUUUGAGCUCCUCGUCGAACACGUGAAAGAGAUGUUUGACCUUCAUUACGAUAAGUUUGUAACACUCUGCGCUGUCUUGUUAUUUUCAAAAGACUCUUGUCUCCCCUUCCAAUGUGUCAUUAACAAAAAUGAGGAUCUAGGUUUAUUGUUAGCAAAGUUUGGACAGAACGCACCAAAUUUCGAAAAAUUAAAAAUAAACUUAAAACUCUUACAAGGUGCUUUUCUAUCUCUUGAUCCAUCUUCUUCUACAUACGAGUUUUCGCACAUAUCGAUUCGAGAGACAGUUUUCAUUGUUGCAGGAGAAAAAUUCAUUGAUGUAGUACUGAAUAGAUGCAAGAAUUCUGAUCUAGAUUUAGUGUGCUGCGACUUCUCUUUGACAGAUAAAGAUUCCAGCACCAGAGUCAACAAACUUGUGUUGAGAAAAGAACAAUAUCCAAAUCUGUUUGACAAAAUGUAUGAUGAGAUACUUCAGAAUCCUUAUGAAAGCGCCAAUUUAAAAAUAAUGCAUGAUAAACGAUUUGUAAACAGCCUUGUGCUUUAUUACAAACAGAAAUCGUGUAUGCAAUAUCUGAUAAAGAAAAGAUACAGAUCUUCGGACGCUUCAAGACUUGUUUCUCGAUAUCAAGUAGAUAUUGGAGACCACUGUCCUUCGUUGGUUCUAUUUUGCUACAGAAAUCCCAUGCUGUUAUCUCAAAUCAUAGAUUGGUACGAUUCGACCAACUCCUGGUUUCGACGAGAGAGAAAAUUUACCUUAGCGUUGGCCAUGGGGUCUGACUGUCCGCAAGUUGUCGAGAUCAUCAUUCAUUACGGCACAGUUCACGAUCUGCCGGAACACCCUUAUACCCAGUCCGAACAAAUUCGGACGCAUCCGAAAUAUAACCGAAGUCCAUCUCAAAUUGAUGAUUCAUCGUUCGAGCUGGUUGACUAUUUAUCAAGAAAAGCACAACUGUCGUUCACCAAAACCAAUAGACACACAGACACUGUCGACGAAGAACUUCUAGAAUACUCGAAAAAACUUCGAAUAUUUGAACGAUGGCCUCGCGAGAAGAGAGAAACCGCGAUGGAAGAAGCAUGUAAACAAGAUCAUCUCGGCGUUUUUAAGUUUCUCCUCCAAAAUUACAAUGUUGAUAUUAAAGAGUCACAUUUUCGUAUUUUGAUAGAAGCAGACGACGAAUGUUCAAGAAUUUUGGAAUACGCUUUGACAGUAAAGCUAUUCACCAAUGCACAAAAUAUUCUCGCUUUAGAUACAGCUUGUCGUCAUAGCAAUUAUUCGCUAGCCAAAUUACUGGUAGCAGACGGAACUCCGAUUGAAGAUGACGUUCUGCAAUUGGUUGCAGGACUGACAAAUGCCAACCAAGAUUUGAUUGAUCUUAUCUACAGUUCCCGAGAAUGGAGCAGUAGUCUUACCGAAUUUGCUUUACAAACUGCGUUCAUGAAAGGAAAUGUUGAAGUGGCUAGCUUUCUGGUAGAAAAAGGUACGCGAGUCACUGAAAACUGCUUAGUCUUUGCUGCGUAUUCUCCCAAAGCAAUUCCGUUAUUUUCCAUCCUUGCUCUGGUUAAUGACAACAGGUGGUCCAAUGAAGCCGUGAACAAAGCGAUUGAAAUCGCGUGUAUGAAACACGACUUCUUACUUCUGGAGUGUAUCUUGAGCAUAAAACGAACAGAUCAAGCUUUGGCGAUAGCUUCAGACUUUCCCGAAAACUAUAAAUCAGAACAGAUUCUUCAAAAUCUUUUGGAGCAAUAUCAUUGGACAGUGGAAGAGAGGCGCUUAGCAGUUUCUGCAGCAUGUGAUAAAAUGAACAUUGCUAUGUUCAAACUCCUUAUAAAUCAUGACACGUGAGAUUGUUCUAUCAUUGUAAAAAGUGAUGAAAAUAUACACGUUUAACCGAGACAAAUUUCAAACAUGGCUGUUUGCGUUUUAUCUUGAGAUUUUGUUUGUAUAUAUUGUUAUUUAUUUGAUUUGCUUUUAUAUUUUGUUUGCUGUUGUUGUUACUGUUAUAUCCGUUAUUUAUAAAUGAAUGUUCUCUCCAAACAUAAAUAAAUCUCCAUUGAUGUUUCUUGU
rnacentral:misc_RNA from 1 species